GUGGGGAAUAUUGGACAAUGGGCGCAAGCCUGAUCCAGCAAUGCCGCGUGCAGGAAGAAGGCCUUCGGGUUGUAAACUGCUUUUGUACGGAACGAAACGGUCCGGGUUAAUACCCUGGGCUAAUGACGGUACCGUAAGAAUAAGCACCGGCUAACUACGUGCCAGCAGCCGCGGUAAUACGUAGGGUGCAAGCGUUAAUCGGAAUUACUGGGCGUAAAGCGUGCGCAGGCGGUUUUGUAAGACAGGCGUGAAAUCCCCGGGCUCAACCUGGGAAGUGGGCUUGUGACUGCAAGGCUGGAGUGCGGCAGAGGGGGAGGGAAUUCCGCGUGUAGCAGUGAAAUGCGUAGAUAUGCGGAGGAACACCGAUGGCGAAGGCAAUCCCCUGGGCCUGCACUGACGCUCAUGCACGAAAGCGUGGGGAGCAAACAGGAUUAGAUACCCUGGUAGUCC
rnacentral:rRNA from 1 species